AUCCGUUGAUGAGUCCCAAAUAGGACGAAAUGCGCAUCCUAGAU
rnacentral:hammerhead_ribozyme from 1 species